AGGGACUGAGCAAAAGAGAAACCAAACUCCUAAAUGUAUAUUGUGAAAUUUCGAUAUUUUGUACAUCGAUAUUUUAGAAAAUAUUUUUUUCUAAAUUACUAAUAAAAUUUGAAUAUGGCAAACCGUUUCUAAUGCAAAGGAAAUAAUAAAAAAAUAUAUGAAAAAUUAUCAGUGACAAUCCAGCCAACAAAAUGCAAGGAAGGUUGUGCAUCUUUACCUUUGGUGUGCUCGUUGGUUAUAUCAUUCUGCCGAGAAUGAAAGAAAAGUAAACAAAAAAUUAUUUUGAAAUAGAAAUAAUUUCAAAAGUGGACAAAACAUGGCAUAAAUGAAACGAAAACGUAAACUAUUCAAAUGAGUCAUACUAAAAAUAGAAAAAACAAAAUGAUUAAAUAAAACUAACAAAAUAACAUUUGAAAUAGGAAAUCUGAAUAAACGAAUUAAUAAAAACGUUUUAAGUAACAAACUUGUCGAGGUGGAUAGUCCUUAGAAUGACUGAUUCAUUAAUAAUAAUAAUGUAAAUAUAGCAUAGCACUGAAAAUUUAUAAUAAUAUAUAUUUAAUAUAUACACGGGAACUCUUAAGGAUUUUUUUUAUAGAAUUUAUAAAAAAUGUACUUUUAUUAAACUAUUUGACUAUAUACAGUAUCUGAAAUUUAAUAGCUUCCAAGUAAAGUUCUUAAAGCUUUCUUAAAACUGUAUCAAAACACUUCCUGAAGAAUUUACUGACACUGACUAUCUGUCAAGAUAACAGUCACUGUCGAAAUAAUUCACGAUUAUAAGGGAGCUUACGUAUUUCGGAAGAAAAUAAACGAUCCAUACCUUGAGUUUGAUUAAAUUUUCAAACAAAAAAUCGUUGAAUUUAUUAUCAGAUAUUUUUACAAAUUGAAAACAAAACUCAAAUCGAGAAUCAUUCAAUAAGUCCACAAAUACCCGCAAAACCACUAGCCCAUCAAAUAUGGUCGGUUUUAUAAUCGCAUUUGGUUUAGGAUUCGUAUGCGGUUAUGUUUUCACCACAGUAUACGAGUACGAAAAAAAUAAAUUAAAAUAGACAUUCUAUUUUACUCUGACAUAUGCUCGAAAACUAAAAAAUAAACUUCAAGAAUCUGUAAAAUUCCGAACUUCUGUCGACAAAAUGCAGAGAAAACUUUGCAUCUUCACUUUCGGUUUGCUUGUAGGCUUCAUCAUUUCGCCGAGGAGAAGAUAAGACGAGGAAUAACUAGAAUUAAAUUAAUCAAGACUGUUGCAUUGCAUCAAAACAGUGAACUAAAUCAAUUUGUACUGAAAUAAUCUAACUAAAUAAAUUUUCUUCAAUAAUUCUGAAGCAAGUGGCGUUGAUUAACAAAGAAAUCCCUUUGGAAUGACCGAACCGGUGAUAGUGUUUUGUUUGGGCACUUUGGCUGGAGUUAUAUUAGUUAAUAUUCUACAAGGAAAUCGUGGAGAAGGAAACAGAAUGAUUGCAGAUCGGCUGAUAAUAUUUAUAUUUGGUGUUGCUAUUGGCUACUUUAUUGUACCGAAAUUGUAAUUUCCAUCUGAAGCUAAAUUCAAAAUUGUUUAAAUUAACAGAAAUAACAAAUAAAAUGUCGCUCCUGUAAUUAGAAAAAAUGCUGGAAUUUGUGGUUAUGAUAUCUAGGAAUGCAUAAUAUAAGAGGUUAUGAAAGUUGAAAUGUUAUUAGCCAUUAAAGGUUAAGAAAAGUUUCUGCAAAGUGACACAAUCAAUCUAAACUAAAUAAUUUGGAUAAUAAUUUGUGGAUGCAAUGAUAGUCUAAUUUCUGAUAACGGUAAAACUAUAAACCAAUUUUAAUAAAAAAAUAAAGAAUAGAAUCUUUGCUUUUUACUUAAUUUGAAAAAUCAUAUGAAAAGUCAAAACUCUUUCUUUUUAUUUGUUAUUGGGAGAAAUCAAUUAAUUUAAAUUUUUACCGAAUCUUCGCCUGGAUUUGUGUCAAUUCAACUAAAUCUUUACCGAAUUUUCGCCUGAAUUUGUGCUGUUUUAAAUUUGGAAUCAUGGAUAGAAUUAUCUUAUUCAGCCUUGGCGUCUUAGUGGGUUAUUACAUAUUGAGAAGAAUGUAAAUUGUGGAACAUUAAAGGACAUACCGUUGAAAAUUUGAAUUAAGAAUGCUUCUGUGUGCUUGUUUUGGGAUAAUCUUGUGUUAAUUUUAGUUUGUACAGUAUAGAGGAAAAUAAUAAAUUUGAUGUAGGUUAAAAUAAAAUUAUAUUUUAUUGCUGGAUUUUUACACAAAA